UCUUUGGCUGCAUGUGCUCGUUUCUAACAAUCUUUAUCCAAACACCUGUGCACCUUUGUGAAGAGGGGAAAAGGCAUCUUGCAAGAUGGAUUACCGUCUUUUGGUGAUUUUCUUGUGGGUUCUGAUCCCCCCUUUAUACACACAUAUACUCCUUUAUUAUUAUUGAACGUGCUUGUGCCGCAAGGCUUAUAAAAUAUAAUACAACUUUUAACAACGGAUCUCUUGGCUCUCGCAUCGAUGAAGAACGCAGCGAAAUGCGAUAAGUAAUGUGAAUUGCAGAAUUCAGUGAAUCAUCGAAUCUUUGAACGCACCUUGCGCUCCCUGGUAUUCCGAGGAGCACACCUGUUCGAGUGUCGUAAAAUUAUCAGACUGUUGAAGCUUUUUGACCCUUGGUUAAAAAGGCAUCUUUAGUUUGGUGUUGGGCUCUGCCGUGCCUUUUGAUUGGAACGGCUGGCCUUAAAAGCAUUAGCUGACCCUUGUGAGUGCAUUGGUUCUACUCAGUGUGAUAAUCAUUUCUGAACCGCUGAGGACAUCUUCCGAGAUGGCCAAUU
rnacentral:rRNA from 1 species